UACGUAGGCAGCAAGCGUUGUUCGGAGUUACUGGGCGUAAAGGGUGUGUAGGCGGUUGUUUAAGUUUGGUGUGAAAUCUCCCGGCUCAACUGGGAGGGUGCGCCGAAUACUGAAUGACUAGAGUGCGGGAGAGGAAAGUGGAAUUCCUGGUGUAGCGGUGAAAUGCGUAGAUAUCAGGAGGAACACCGGUGGUGUAGACGGCUUUCUGGACCGUAACUGACGCUGAGACACGAAGGCGUGGGUAGCAAACAGG
rnacentral:rRNA from 1 species